rnacentral:rRNA from 1 species
CCUACGGGAGGCAGCAGUGAGGAAUAUUGGUCAAUGGGCGAGAGCCUGAACCAGCCAAGUCGCGUGAGGGAAGACGGUCCUAUGGAUUGUAAACCUCUUUUGUCGGGGAGCAAAACGGCCUCGGGCGGCCACAAGUGAGAGUACCCGAGGAAAAAGCAUCGACUACCUCCGUGCCAGCAGCCGCGGUAAUACGGGGGAUGCGAGCGUUAUCCGGAUUUAUUGGGUUUAAGGGGUGCGUGGGCGGACUGGAAAGUCGGCGGUAAAAUCGAGAGGCUAAACCUCUUUCCGCCGUUGAAACUGUCGGUCUGGAGUGGGCGAGAAGUAUGCGGAAUGCGUGGUGUAGCGGUGAAAUGCAUAG